AUAAUGGGUCAGCGACUUAUAUUCUGUAGCAAGGUUAACCGAAUAGGGGAGCCGAAGGGAAACCGAGUCUUAACUGGGCGUUAAGUUGCAGGGUAUAGACCCGAAACCCGGUGAUCUAGCCAUGGGCAGGUUGAAGGUUGGGUAACACUAACUGGAGGACCGAACCGACUAAUGUUGAAAAAUUAGCGGAUGACUUGUGGCUGGGGGUGAAAGGCCAAUCAAACCGGGAGAUAGCUGGUUCUCCCCGAAAGCUAUUUAGGUAGCGCCUCGUGAAUUCAUCUCCGGGGGUAGAGCACUGUUUCGGCAAGGGGGUCAUCCCGACUUACCAACCCGAUGCAAACUGCGAAUACCGGAGAAUGUUAUCACGGGAGACACACGGCGGGUGCUAACGUCCGUCGUGAAGAGGGAAACAACCCAGACCGCCAGCUAAGGUCCCAAAGUCAUGGUUAAGUGGGAAACGAUGUGGGAAGGCCCAGACAGCCAGGAUGUUGGCUUAGAAGCAGCCAUCAUUUAAAGAAAGCGUAAUAGCUCACUGGUCGAGUCGGCCUGCGCGGAAGAUGUAACGGGGCUAAACCAUGCACCGAAGCUGCGGCAGCGACGCUGAUGCGUUGUUGGGUAGGGGAGCGUUCUGUAAGCCUGCGAAGGUGUACUGUGAGGUAUGCUGGAGGUAUCAGAAGUGCGAAUGCUGACAUAAGUAACGAUAAAGCGGGUGAAAAGCCCGCUCGCCGGAAGACCAAGGGUUCCUGUCCAACGUUAAUCGGGGCAGGGUGAGUCGACCCCUAAGGCGAGGCCGAAAGGCGUAGUCGAUGGGAAACAGGUUAAUAUUCCUGUACUUGGUGUUACUGCGAAGGGGGGACGGAGAAGGCUAUGUUGGCCGGGCGACGGUUGUCCCGGUUUAAGCGUGUAGGCUGGUUUUCCAGGCAAAUCCGGAAAAUCAAGGCUGAGGCGUGAUGACGAGGCACUACGGUGCUGAAGCAACAAAUGCCCUGCUUCCAGGAAAAGCCUCUAAGCAUCAGGUAACAUCAAAUCGUACCCCAAACCGACACAGGUGGUCAGGUAGAGAAUACCAAGGCGCUUGAGAGAACUCGGGUGAAGGAACUAGGCAAAAUGGUGCCGUAACUUCGGGAGAAGGCACGCUGAUAUGUAGGUGAAGUCCCUCGCGGAUGGAGCUGAAAUCAGUCGAAGAUACCAGCUGGCUGCAACUGUUUAUUAAAAACACAGCACUGUGCAAACACGAAAGUGGACGUAUACGGUGUGACGCCUGCCCGGUGCCGGAAGGUUAAUUGAUGGGGUCAGCGCAAGCGAAGCUCUUGAUCGAAGCCCCGGUAAACGGCGGCCGUAACUAUAACGGUCCUAAGGUAGCGAAAUUCCUUGUCGGGUAAGUUCCGACCUGCACGAAUGGCGUAAUGAUGGCCAGGCUGUCUCCACCCGAGACUCAGUGAAAUUGAACUCGCUGUGAAGAUGCAGUGUACCCGCGGCAAGACGGAAAGACCCCGUGAACCUUUACUAUAGCUUGACACUGAACAUUGAGCCUUGAUGUGUAGGAUAGGUGGGAGGCUUUGAAGUGUGGACGCCAGUCUGCAUGGAGCCGACCUUGAAAUACCACCCUUUAAUGUUUGAUGUUCUAACGUUGACCCGUAAUCCGGGUUGCGGACAGUGUCUGGUGGGUAGUUUGACUGGGGCGGUCUCCUCCUAAAGAGUAACGGAGGAGCACGAAGGUUGGCUAAUCCUGGUCGGACAUCAGGAGGUUAGUGCAAUGGCAUAAGCCAGCUUGACUGCGAGCGUGACGGCGCGAGCAGGUGCGAAAGCAGGUCAUAGUGAUCCGGUGGUUCUGAAUGGAAGGGCCAUCGCUCAACGGAUAAAAGGUACUCCGGGGAUAACAGGCUGAUACCGCCCAAGAGUUCAUAUCGACGGCGGUGUUUGGCACCUCGAUGUCGGCUCAUCACAUCCUGGGGCUGAAGUAGGUCCCAAGGGUAUGGCUGUUCGCCAUUUAAAGUGGUACGCGAGCUGGGUUUAGAACGUCGUGAGACAGUUCGGUCCCUA
rnacentral:rRNA from 1 species